rnacentral:rRNA from 1 species
GACAGAGGUGCCGAGCGUUAGGCGGAAUCACUGGGCUUAAAGCGUGUGUAGGCGGAGGCCUAAGUACCUUGUGAAAUCCCACGGCUUAACCGUGGAACUGCUUGGUAUACUGGGUCUCUUGAGCCAUCCAGGGGCUACUGGAACAAACGGUGGAGCGGUGAAAUGCGUAGAGAUCGGAAAGAACACCAACGGCGAAAGCACUCUGCUGGGCCGACACUGACACUGAGAGACGAGAGCUAGGGGAGCGAAUGGG